rnacentral:rRNA from 1 species
GUGUCAGCAGCCGCGGUAAUACGUAGGGUGCAAGCGUUAAUCGGAAUUACUGGGCGUAAAGCGUGCGCAGGCGGUUCGCUAAGACCGAUGUGAAAUCCCCGGGCUUAACCUGGGAACUGCAUUGGUGACUGGCGGGCUAGAGUAUGGCAGAGGGGGGUAGAAUUCCACGUGUAGCAGUGAAAUGCGUAGAGAUGUGGAGGAAUACCGAUGGCGAAGGCAGCCCCCUGGGCCAAUACUGACGCUCAUGCACGAAAGCGUGGGGAGCAAACAGGAUUAGAUACCCUGGUAGUCC